rnacentral:rRNA from 1 species
CGCAGCCGCGGUAAUUCCAGCUCCAAUAGCGUAUAUUAAAGUUGUUGCAGUUAAAAGCUCGUAGUUGAAUUUCGGGGUUAGUAGGUUGGUCGUGCCACUGGUACGUACUGGUCUCACUGAUUCCUCCUUCCUGAUGAACUGUAAUGCCAUUAAUUUGGUGUUGCAGGGAAACUGGACUGUUACUUUGAAAAAAUUAGAGUGUUUAAAGCAAGCUAACGCUUGAAUACAUUAGCAUGGAAUAAUGAAAUAGGACGUUCGAUCCUAUUUUGUUGGUUUCUAGGAUUGACGUAAUGAUUAAUAGGGAUAGUUGGGGGCAUUAGUAUUCAAUUGUCAGAGGUGAAAUUCUUGGAUUUAUUGAAGACUAACUACUGCGAAAGCAUUUGCCAAGGAUGUUUUCAUUAAUCAAGAACGAAAGUUAGGGGAUCGAAGACGAUCAGAUACCGUCGUAGUCUUAACCAUAAACUAUGCCGACUAGGGAUCGGAUGAUGUUAAUUUUUUAAUGACUCGUUUGGCACCUUAC